GCUGAAUAUGACUCCUGGGCUGACAAGGAGGCCGUGGAAGUCAAGUAGAAGUGAAGAGUUUGGAAAAGAAAGACCUUUGAGGUCUUUGGAAAUAAAAUUUAGGACAUCCAAUUCAUCUCUACAAAGAACUUUUUGGAGGUACCGAAAUCCAUGGUUCUAAUGAAAACUGAAUUACUUUUGUAGACACAAAUAUGGAAAACUCAAGCUUGUAAAUAAACAAUGGAGAGAAUGAGCUAUUUCUGUUUGAGCUAAUGAAGAAUGACAUAAGAAGAAAAUAUUGUUCA
rnacentral:lncRNA from 1 species